UACUACACCUUUAAGACGUCGACACUGCGAAUUGGGAGUGGGCAUAUGUUCGACAGUAAAAUCACAACACUUCGCAAUGGGAAAACUGUGAAGAGGACCCUCUGCGCUGACCACUAGUUAUAGAAAAGGUUUGAAAUAAUGUGCACCAAAAGGCUAUAUUGCCAUAACAACUAUGUAUGAAAAGUGAUACGGAAACCAUUAAAUGCAUGUGGGAUGAGGUUUGCGCAAUGGACGCACAAGGGUCUUGGUCUGCAUACGUCAACACAUUUUGUGACAUGUUUACGUUUUGAUUUGCCUGUAGAAUGUUGUAUUUUAAUCGUCUCUGACAUUUGACAGAAAUGUAUUCCCGAUCAGCAGGGAAAUUGUGCUGCUAAAGUGUGAAAUAUGUUUACAGUUGAUUUUCUUCAGUUUUGUUAUCUACCACAUUCUCCAUUUUAACUCCGUCUUUAGCCAGCGACAACGAUAUUUAUCUCAUCGACACAAAAAUAUCUGCCGGUAUCCUGCAUGUUGUACUGUUGUGGAAGCAAGGACAAGGAGAAGCAGCGCCCGGACGCUGCAGAGGUGUCGAGAAUUCUAGAGACAGAGACAGAGAAAAACCGAAAGAGCCAAGAAAGCGCACCUCAACCACGGGACAUGUACGGAAUAGCGGCAAUGCCCGAGCUUCUACCACCCUCUGGCGUCCUCCAGCCCAGCUCAGUAAUCCCACUCGAGUCGGGUGAGGUGCCUGGUUUGUGGAAUGGAUUCAACAGGGGUGUGCUGAGUUUUGACUCCCCCCAGCGGAGACGAGGCCAACGGGCCCCGAAGUUAGGGCAAAUAGGACGGUCGAAGAGAGUGGUUAUAGAGGAUGACGACUUGGAUGAUGUCAUGAAACACAAUGGCCUCCCCAUAUCAAUCAAUAUCUCUCCUGUUGCCUGAACAACUCUGAUAGUGUCCAGACCUCAAGAGGCUAUUGUGCUCAUUUGUGAAAUUCUGAAGUGUGUACCACUUGUUUCUGGACAAUGUCCAAUUCAGGUGCCCAUUGCAAAGUUUACAAUAGUAGCAUGCGCAUCACAUGUAGUUUAGCUCUUCCUGGACACAGGAAGGUCUGUCCCAAGGAAAUAGAAGUAAAAAAACAGUGCAUCUUUGCUUCAGCUGGUGUUGAAGGGGGGACUUUCUGUCCUGAGGAGAGGGGAGCAAUUAGGAUAGAUUUGGGUCUGGACAGGCUGAAACAUAAGCACACAAGAGAAGGCCCUACCCAUCAAGACCUGCCCCCUCAAAAUGAGUGGACCUGUUUGUUUGUUGUUGUCUUUAGUGUCUAUAUUUUAAACACUCCAUCCAAGAUGUUAUUUUAAUUUGUGUCAAUCCAACCUAUAUCUAAUUGAUAAAACAGCUACUCAUAGUGCUGGGCAGUGUUUUCACAAUAUUAUUUAUUUGACAUUAUGUACGCUUUUUCAGUGUUUCACAUAUGUUGACAACACUUAUUUUAGUUUUUGACAGUUGACAACACUGUCUCGUUUUGGUGCAAACUAAUUGUAAAAUUUGUUGUAAAACGUGUUAGAUAAACUGAAGGCUUUAAUUUGCCAUUGUAACAUGUCACAAUCAUUGUCUUAGUAUAACAUAUGUUGUACUGUAUGUUACUUUUACCCCUGAGUUGCUAGACAAGAGUUCCCACUGUGAACUAUUUAUGGAACUUUAUGUAUCCCUGCAUCAAGGUGUAAUAUACACAUUUUUUACAACCAGCUUCCUGUUAUAUUCUUCACCAUAAUGCCACAUCUGUGGCAAGUCAUGUGGCAUUCAGAUAAGUAGCCUAACUUAUGUUAAACCCAGCUAUGAAGCAGGUCGCUACAUGGAGGAGCAACUCAAGGAAAUUGGUGUAAGACUCCGAUCUGUGAGGAAUACAUUGUUUUGAUGUAACCAUUGUUUGGCUCAGUGUUAUCUCUUUGUCAAGAUUAAUAGAUGUAAAGUUAUAAAAUCUACCCCUCACUAGAGAUAUACAAGCAGGGUUUAGCUUAAAUCAAUUCACUUGUCAAGAACGUAUUUUCUAAAUCCUCCUUGAAUCUACUUGUUAGUUUUCCCCAACCCUUUUCAGUUAUCAAAUCACAUUUUAUUGUGCCAAAUACAACUUACAAGCCCUUAACCAACCAUGCAGUUUUAAGAAAAUAGAGUUAAGAAAAUAUUUAAAUUGUACCAAGCGAAUUUUGCUCUGCCCGGAGUACCCCUGACAUAUUCCUUCAUGUGCAUUAUACCAGUAGGACUAUUAUCUCAUGAGUCUUCUCAAGUACCCUCUGUCAAGUAACCCUGUUUGGGAACCACUGUUAGAAUGUGAUCCGCUGUUGUGUAAUGAUAGUAUGCACCACCAGAUAGCGAUAAAGUUAAAGGAACAUAGUCCUCAGCCCAACAUAUGUGUCUUACUCAACCCCUCAGUCUGUUAUUCAUUUGUAAUAAAACAUGUUUGUAUAGGUUCAUUUCCAAAGACUAAGUCACAAGCUCACGGUUGAAGACAAUGAGAACAUUUCAAAAAUAGUCCCUAACUCACUGAUUUGAGAGAACUUAAUGUACAUUGUUAGAUUCCCCUGCCAGUGAGCUUUAUAGCUUCAUGCAGCUCAUUCCACCCAUCCCCCAAACAUGCCAGAGAGACUAGGGGGGAGGCAGUUGUACAACAAUGCAUCUUCCACAUGUAACCCAACCCCUCUGAAUUAGAGGUGCAGAAGGCUGCCUGGGUAACAGUGGGUUAACUGCCUUGCUUAGGAGCCAAACAGAUGUUUACCUUGUCAGCUCGGGGAUUUGAUCCAGCAACCUUUUGGUUACUGGCCCAACUCUACCAGCCAGGCUACCAGACCAUGUUCGAGGGGAUCUAAACCAUUUUGCCUAGAUAAAUAAUAUAUCACAAGUAAAAUUGUGACUCACUGACCUACAAAUAAUUAUAAGUCGUUAUUUAUGAUGCAAGGUGAUUUGUAGAUCAGUCAGUUGGCAAUGGCCUGCACUGUUGGCUGCAAUGUGAAACAAGCUCCAUGAGGAUCAUAAAGACUGGGUUCCAGAGCUUAGACAUUGCUGCACCUAACAGGUCUUCAACUCCUGGUUAGGUAUUUUAAGUAUCAGCUAACCACAUCCUAGGCGUCUUCUCUGACCAGGCGUUGCGGACGCCUGCUAGAUCUUAAAACACCUGGAUAGCAAUCUCAGUCGGUGAUGUGGCACCCCAACCAUUGGUUGAUGCAUGCCAUGUCUGGGCAGUGGAACGCAACACCUAUGUUACUGCCGUGUUCAAAACAGCUGGGAACUCUGGACUUCAGUGCAUUCAAGACUACUGCAAUUUAUGUAUAAACAAGAUUUCUUGCAACAUCUGCAUAUCUGGCAUGGAAUCCCACAACAUAGACACAAUAAACCAGAACCCACAACUUGUCACCAUUUUAUUUACAGAAGACAAUCUCAAAAAGUUAAAUAUUAAAAAUGUGGCAGUAUUACAAAACUACUCUUGGGAAAAGGAGAAUACAUUUGAUCCUUUUGAAGCAUACAUAUUUCAGGUUACUAGCCAAUUUUUUAAAAAGUUGCCAAAAUGAGAGUACACCUUUACCGCUGAUAAUGGCAUUAAGUGAAUCACAGCAAAUAGUCAACAAUCUUAGUUGUGGGAGAACAGUCUCGGGCCUUCAGAAAUUACAAGUCUUGACAGAGUCACAUGUGUUGUAUAAUUCAAAAUGAUGUAUCUAGCGUAAUCAUUAUAAAUCUAGAUAUAGGCUUGCAUUUCCUGAUUGGCUCCUAAAACAGCUUGUGGUAUGGUUGGCCGUUGUAAUGUAAUACCAAAGCAUGAUGGCCCCAUCAUUACAUAGUCAUCUGGCCUGUCCAUGUAGGCUACAGUAAUAGAAAUGGGAAAAGUGAAGGGAUGUAAAAAGGUCUGAGGCCAACACGCAACAUCUGCUCUACCUUACAAGUAAACAUCAUGAGCAGUCCUCUAGAACCAUCUCUUAAUUACAUCCUUACUGAUUUAUUGUAACUGAGGGUAUA